rnacentral:rRNA from 1 species
UACGUAGGGUGCAAGCGUUGUCCGGAAUUAUUGGGCGUAAAGAGCUCGUAGGCGGUCUGUCGCGUCGGCUGUGAAAUCCCGAGGCUCAACCUCGGGUCUGCAGUCGAUACGGGCAAACUAGAGUAUUGCAGGGGAGACUGGAAUUCCUGGUGUAGCGGUGAAAUGCGCAGAUAUCUGGAGGAACACCGGUGGCGAAGGCGGCAUCCUGGACCAAUUCUGACGCUGAGGAGCGAAAGCCAGGGGAGCAAACGGG